CCUACGGGAGGCUGCAGUGGGGAAUAUUGGACAAUGGGGGCAACCCUGAUCCAGCCAUGCCGCGUGUGUGAAGAAGGCCCUCGGGUUGUAAAGCACUUUCAGUGAGGAAGAACGCCUGGUGGUUAAUACCCAUCAGGAAAGACAUCACUCACAGAAGAAGCACCGGCUAACUCCGUGCCAGCAGCCGCGGUAAUACGGAGGGUGCGAGCGUUAAUCGGAAUUACUGGGCGUAAAGUGCGCGUAGGUGGCUUGAUAAGCCGGUUGUGAAAGCCCCGGGCUCAACCUGGGAACGGCAUCCGGAACUGUCAAGCUAGAGUGCAGGAGAGGAAGGUAGAAUUCCCGGUGUAGCGGUGAAAUGCGUAGAGAUCGGGAGGAAUACCAGUGGCGAAGGCGGCCUUCUGGACUGACACUGACACUGAGGUGCGAAAGCGUGGGUAGCAAACAGGAUUAGAUACCCGUGUAGUC
rnacentral:rRNA from 1 species